rnacentral:rRNA from 1 species
CAGUAGCCGCGGUAAUACGGAGGGCGCGAGCGUUACCCGGAUUUACUGGGCGUAAAGGGCGUGUAGGCGGCCUGGGGCGUCCCAUGUGAAAGGCCACGGCUCAACCGUGGAGGAGCGUGGGAUACGCUCAGGCCAGAGGGUGGGAGAGGGUGGUGGAAUUCCCGGAGUAGCGGUGAAAUGCGCAGAUACCGGGAGGAACGCCGAUGGCGAAGGCAGCCACCUGGUCCACUUCUGACGCUGAGGCGCGAAAGCGUGGGGAGCAAACCGGAUUAGAUACCCGCGUAGUCCCUGUCUCUUAUAC